CUAAAUGGCGCCACGAUUUACUUUGGCAGCUGACGAAUACAAAUCGCUAGAUUUGGAGUAGAGGUAUCAGGAGUGUAGAAUAAGCGAGGAGGAGUAUACGCAUAGCAGGAGGGGCACCUUACAUGUACGUUUGAACUUAUACCGAAGAGAUCUUAAUUGUGAUUCGUUUCCAAAGCUUAAUGAACACUUUCGAAAGUAUUGGACUUUUCUAUGUUUUAACAUAUAAUUGUGAAUGAAGAUAACAUUUUUGUCGUUAUAAUACAUAUUUGAUUAUUCAUCACCAAGCACCACGCGAUUGCAUCAAAUGCAGAAAGGCAACUCUCAGCCAUUUUCAUUCCAUACCUCGUGCAUUUAGAGGUUUCCAAGAUGGCGAAGAAAACGUUAGCGGAUAAAACCCCUCAAAACGACGAUAAUGUUAAAAAUAACGACGAUGUACUAACCGACGAUGAAGAACCGAAUUUUAGUGAUCCCGAGGGAUUUGUGGAUGAUAUCACCGAUGAAGAACUCCUUGGUGACAUCCUCAAACAAAAACCAUCAGAAACAGAUGGUGUAGAAUCGGUAAUUGUUAUCGAUGGAGUGCCCCAGGUUGAGCCUGAGAGAUUAGAGAAACUUCAAUCCGUGAUUAGCAAAGUUUUAGGAAAAUUUGGCACAAUUGUAAACCAAUAUUAUCCUAAAAAUGAAAAUGGAUAUACCAAAGGGUAUAUAUUUUUAGAAUACAAUAACCCAGUUAACGCUUUAGCAGCCGCUCAGUCUGUAAAUAAUUACAAAAUUGACAAACAACACACAUUUAAAGUAAAUUUGUUUACCGAUUUUAAAAAGUUUGAAGAAAUCCCAGAUGAAUGGGAGCCUCCAAAACCACAAGAAUUUAAAGCUGCUGCAGAUUUACACUAUUAUCUUUUAGAACCAGAUGCUUAUGAUCAAUAUUGUGUACUUUGUGGUAAUGGUCCUUCUGUUACUGUACAAGUAUGGCAAAAUUCUGCCCCUGAACCAUCAUUGCUCGAAGAACGUGCUCGCUGGACAGAGACGUAUGUCAAGUGGUCUCCAUUAGGUACAUAUUUGGCAACUUUUCAUAAAUUGGGUGUUGCAUUAUGGGGUGGCCCUCAGUUUGUACAGCAAGCUAGAUUCAGUCAGAAAGGUGUUGAGUGUAUUGACUUUUCACCUUGCGAGCGGUAUUUAGUAACAUACACUCCUCGAACUGAUCUUGGUUCUGAUCAAAAACGUUUGGUAAUUUGGGAUAUUCUUACUGGUCAAGAAAAGCGUUCAUUCUAUGCAGACGGUUCUUCGGUGUGGCCCAUUUUCCGUUGGUCGCACGACGAUAAAUAUCUUGCUCGUAUGGGAGAAGAUAUUCUGAGUGUUUAUGAAACACCUUCGUUUGGUUUAUUGGACAAAAAGAGUAUAAAAAUUCCGGGGAUCAGAGACUUCAGUUGGUCUCCCACUGAUAACAUUCUUGCAUAUUGGGUACCAGAAGAUAAGGAUGUCCCAGCCAGAGUUACCCUUCUUGAGAUUCCAAACCGAAAUGAAAUACGUAACAAAAACUUGUUCAACGUAGCUGACUGUAAAAUUUAUUGGCAGAAGUCAGGAGAUUAUCUUUGCGUGAAGGUUGAUCGUUUCGCCAAACGUAAAGAAAAGACAGAACAAAAAUACACGGGAAUGUCUUAUAACUUCGAAAUCUUUCACAUGCGAGAAAAACAAAUUCCAGUUGAUAGCGUAGAAAUAAAAGAACCGAUUCACGCAUUUGCCUGGGAACCUGUUGGCAGCAAAUUUGCUAUUAUUCACGGAGACAUUCCAAGCGUUAACGUUAGUUUUUAUGAAGUACGAUAUGGUCAUCAGCCUGCACUUUUAAAAAAACUAGAGAAGAAGGCCUGCAAUCACCUGUUCUGGUCACCUUCUGGACAAUUUAUUGUUCUUGCUGGAUUAACAACUAUGGCAGGAGCUUUGGAGUUUAUUGAUACCAAUGAUUUUAUCAUCAUGAACUCAACGGAUCAUUAUCAAACUUCAGACGUAGAAUGGGAUCCUACCGGACGGUAUGUCGUAACUGCUGUCUCUAGUUGGAAAACUAGCGUUGAUAAUGGAUAUUGGAUAUGGACGUUCCAAGGUCGUAUCUUAAAAAGAGUUAACCUUAAUCAAUUUAAUCAAUUGCUUUGGAGACCACGACCACCAACAUUGCUGACAGCAGAACAGAUUAAAGAAAUUAAGAAGAAUUUGAAGAAAUAUUCCGCGCAAUUCGAAAGCAAAGAUCGUAUGCGACUAACACGUGCUUCAAAGGAAUUAAUUGAAAAACGUUGUACUGCAAUGAAAGCAUUUGAGGAAUACCGUUCAAAACGUGUUCAAGAAUGGAAUAAUCAAAAGAAACGCCGUUUAGAAUUACGUAAUGGUAUCGAUACCGAUGAAUUAGAUUCUGAUUCGAAGAAUGUAGAGGAAGAAGUAAUAGAAUUUUUCGUCAAAGAAGAAACAUUCGUUAUUGACGACAAAUAAAAUUUUGUGGGAGAAGUUUUCCUGUCUGCCAUUUUUGGAAAUCUCUAGUGCAAAACCGAUCCAGUCAUUUGUGAAAAGUGUUGUCAAACACUUUAAUUGGAAUUUCUUCCACUUUUUCGACGUUACGUAUAAAACGUCGUAACCAUAGUACCAUAAAGUUUUAUCACGUUCCAUACAGGAUAGUAUGUCAAUCAACAAAUAAUUAUUAUCAGUAUAAACAUA
rnacentral:misc_RNA from 1 species